rnacentral:rRNA from 1 species
GACAUAGGUGGCGAACGUUAUCCGGAUUUAUUGGGCGUAAAGGAUGCGUAGAUGGUGGAAUAAGUUGUUGGUCAAAAUCGAGUUCAACUUGAUGGAGCUGAUAAUAACUGUUCUGCUUGAGGACAGGGAGAGGUUAGCGGAACUCUAUGCGUAGGGGUGAAAUCCAUUGAUCUAAUAGAGGGACCACCAAAAAAGGCGAAGGCAGCUAACUAUUCUGCUCCUGACAU